UGGAAAGCCCCGCUCCCAGCAAGAGGCACUGGGGUGCUGGAGAACCCGACGUUUGUGAGCCGCUGGGUUUGCUGUGAACCCACCCAGGCUCUUUGUGGGUGCUGCACCCACGGGGGCACGAGCCCAGCAGCACCUUGGAGCUGCAGCACCCAGCAGCGUGGCAACCCCAGGGGGCUUUCCAUCCACAGGGCAAGCUCAGGAGGAAUUGGACCGGUUCAUUUUCCUGCCAUGGCUCUGAAAUGCAGAUUGACCUCGUGGUCGGGGGGGGGCCCAGGCCACCAGGGGUCCCUUCCCAGCUGGGCUUGUGAUUUUUGCUUCUCUUUUUUUUCCCCCAAAUCUCCGCUGCUUUCAGUGAGAUACCUUAGCAAGCUGCCCCGUGUCUCCCGGACGUUUAUCUCUAUGCUGCAGCUUUACCCCCAGAACAAAACGUCCUUGGUGAGGCCGGGCUGUGCUGGGUGCUUUCUGUUCUUUGACGGUGAAUUAGUAGAGAGCAAGUUGUAGGAGCUCCCAUGUGCUUGGAGACCAAGGAAAAGAGAUUUGGGCUUGGCAAUAGAGCUGAGGCUGAAUUCCUCCGGGCAGCUGCCACCUCUGAUCUUUGCCCACCUGAGCAGGGACCCUGGGGUGCUGUGUGCCUCCCGGCUGCUCUAUAAUAGAUGGGGGAGCAUGAUUUAUUCAUGUUCACCAGCACCAGCUAGUAUUUAGGUCGUUAUUUCCAUUAAAGGUCUCAAAGAACAUUUCAAUGUGACAAAGACUCUGAUGGCCUUUGCCUCAGCUGUGCGAGGUCUCCUUGUCCCCCCCAUCGCUGCUCCUGCCUUUCCCUCCUCAUCUGGAAACUCAGGCAUGUCCAGCUCGUGGGUUGACAGUCCUUGUCCUGACAGCAGCCCCCACGGGUGAUUAUAAAGUGCCUUUUGUUCUUGCUAGGUCACAAAACUUGCCAGCUUUGCUUUUAAAUUUUUCUUUUUUUUUUUUUUUUUUUUUAUGACAAUUAUUAUUUUAAAGCAGCCGUUUUUCUAUCCCGAAUGCAUCACAGCCACUUUCCUGUAUGUAGUUCUGCUUCCAACGGGACGUGAGUGAGGAAAUGCUGCUGGGUGAUCGUUAGCCUAAUUCUUCUCCUCCAGCCUCCUACCUCCACCCCCGGUUGCUUUAAUGCUGGAAAAAGGAAGAGCAGCGGCCAGAUGCCUGCCCCGGGCUCUGUGCUGCUCCCAGCCCAGCGUGAACCUCCCCGGAGGGGGAUGGCUCCCUCCUCCAGCCCCUCUCCUGCCAUCACGCCCCAACCCCGCGCUGGUGCGGGCUGUUUCUGAAGUGGAGAGGUGCUGGGACAGGCCUGGCCAGCAGCAGGGUUGGUAAAUCCCAUGGCCAUGCUGAGGUGCCACCGGGAAGCUCUGGCUGCAAAUCGCGGGGAGUUUCCUUUCCUGGUGUUGGAAACUAGGCUGCCAGGGUGUUUGGACUCUCAGGCCCAGCACCCGCUGGGCUCUGCUGGUCCCUGGCCCCGUGUCCUGUCCCUGCUUCGAGUUCCCUCCUGGAAGCGUCAGCGGGACCAGCUCGGAGGUGUCCGGGCAAGGGGCUGCCCGCUGCUCUUCCCCUCUGCAGUACGGAACGAUACCAUCCGCUUCACGACCGAUAAGUUAUAAAUUUUCCCAGCUUCCAGCAGAUUUUUCCUGGUGGGUUGUUUGCUUAUUUUUCCUUACUCUUAAAGCACCAACUGUAAUGAUUAAUCACCACUUGGGCUGCACAUUACGCUUCCUCAUCAGCCCCAGCGAGUUGACAAGAGCGAUGGGAGCUGCAGAACGGCCAGAGUCGGAGCUCAGCCCGUUUCGCUUUUCACUGAGCCAAUUAGUGCCUGGUUUUAUGGUUUUCAGUUGGCCCAUUAAACCUGCUACCUUCAAACAAGUAUUUCAAAACCUACAGCAGUGAAAAAACACGCUGGGAAGGAUCUUUCUCUUUUUUGAGGGAGUUGGAGACUUCUCCUGCCUCCCCGCCUGGUGUGAAACCCUCCUGGGAGGGGUCCCCACAUCUCUGAGUCCAGUAGAGAAAAGCCAGGGAGAGAUGCCAGGGCUGGAAGCUUAAGCAAGAGAAAUGUGAUGUCGAAAUGGUUUGCGUGGGGUGCUGGACCAGUUAAUAAGGGAUGUGCCCCAGUUUGGUGUUAGACAAACUGAGACCAGAAGGAAAGGGUGAGUAUCCUUCAGGUUUUAAUUAUUAUUUUUUUUUUAAUCAUAGGAGUAAUGAAUCAUAGAAACAGCUGGCCAAAAGGCAAGGGGGGGGUCUUCCAUGCCUUAGCAGCUGCGUGUUUCCAGCUCAGGCAGUGGCUGUUGAUGAGACUGGCUGGAUCAUUGUGCUAGGACUGUGCCGGAGCAGGGAGAUGUGUCGGCAUCCGCUGGCUUUGAAGUCCCUGAAACCUCCCGGAGGUUUGCACCCUGCUGACCCUCAGGGGCCGCUCUGCAAGGAGCUGUUUAAACCCUCUGCUUCUCAUCCCUUUGAGACGAGCACCAGGAACUUGCCCUCAGCUGCUUUUGCUCCAGAAAAACUCCAGUGUGGUGGGCUGGCUUUUUCCUUGCUUAAAUUAAUAGCGCGGGGAUGAUGAACGGGGCGGUUGGCGCAGAGCUCUCUGCCUAGAUGCGCUUCGUGGCUCUCGGAUGCAGGCGUCAUCCGGGGUUGUUUGCAUCCACUGCUGCUCCUCUGGUUGCAAAUCCAUUUCUCCCCUGGUUUUGUCCCCAAAAUGAACCGCAAGUGCUGCUUUAGAUA